ACAAGCUGGUGUUCUGUGAAGUU
rnacentral:piRNA from 1 species